rnacentral:rRNA from 1 species
GACGAACGCUGGCGGCGUGCUUAACACAUGCAAGUCGAAAGGAAAGGCCCUGCUUUUGUGGGGUGCUCGAGUGGCGCACGGGUGUGAAACACGUGAGUAACCCGCACUUGACUUUGGGAUAACUCCAGGAAACUGGGUAUAAUACCGGAGAGGAGCUCUUGCUGCAUGGAGGGGGAUGGAAAGUUUCGGCGGUGGGGGAUGGACUCGAGGCUUAUCAGCUUGUUGGUGGGGUAGUGGCUUACAAAGGCUUUGACGGGUAGCCGGCCUGAGAGGUUGACCGGCCACAUUGGUCCUACGGUAGGGCCCAGCAUCCAACGGGCGGCAGUGGGGGGGAGUAUUGCGCAGUGGGGGCAAGCGUGUGGCGACAGUCCCGCGAGCGGAAUGACGUCUUUCGGGUUGUAAACCGCUUUCUCAGGUACCGAGGCGUUAGUGACGGUAAUGGGUAAAGAAGCACCGGCUAACUACGUG